rnacentral:rRNA from 1 species
AGUGAACGCUGGCGGUAGGCUUAACACAUGCAAGUCGAACGGCAACACAGUAAAAGCUUCUUCUCACUGGUGGCGAGUCGCGGACGGGUGAGUAGCACAGGGAAGUGUACUGUUUCGUGGGAGAUCAAGAAGAGAGACUUACUAUUAUAGCGCAAGCGACCUGCGGGUGAGUGCGGGAGAUCUUCAAACCUUUCGCGUAUUUAUGAGGCGAUGUCGGAUUAGCUAGUUGGUGGGGUAAAGGCUCACCAAGGCGACGAUCCGUAGCGGGUCUGAGAGGAUGAUCCGCCACACUGGAACUGAGACACGGCCCAGACUCCUACGGGAGGCAGCAGUGGGGAAUAUUGGACAAUGGGGGAAACCCUGAUCCAGCCAUGCCGCGUGUAUGAAGAAGGCCUUAGGGUUGUAAAGUACUUUUGUUAGGAAAGAAAAGCUAGAUUUUAAUAAAAAGCAGUGAUGACGGUACCUAAAGAAUAAGCACCGGCUAACUACGUG